UCAGCACCACCAGUCAGAUGGAGGAAGAUAAGAGAACCCUGUUGACAAAAAAAGUAAGAAAACUUAUUUUCAUUUUAAAUAUGGAUGAAAUUGAGGUCAAGUUGUUCUUCCUUCUGUCCAAAUAUAUUCUGUUUGUUAACCCCAUUGUCUUCUCUCUUUAUUUCAUUUCUCCGUCAACUCAUGUCACAUGACAUGAGUUGACCAACAAUUAAAGAAGAAGACCAGCUCCACCUGCUGAUCUACUGGUCAUAACAGAUUGUGGAAAAGCAUCACUCAGACAAGACAACAACAGUGGGCCAAUCAGGAGAGAGAAGACACAGAGGACUGAGGACUAAAACAAAUAAACAAAGGCUGCCAAAAAAAAGCAGGCUAUCCAGUGGCCCCAGGUUUACACACCAUCUCUCAUCUUUUGAGACAGAUUCCGAUGGAGAAGUGGGAUAAAGAGCAACAGUGGAAACGGGUCAACCAAUGACAGUCAGACUCACUGUCCCCCAUCCGCCUCACCCCUCCUCCCACCUGACAGACGCCAAACACUCUCUCAUCGCUAUAAAACCUCCUCACCUCCAUCACUGUCAGGGACAUGAAGAUCCUGAAGUGUCUGUGUUCAUCUGACUGGCUGAGGUGGAUGCAGACACUCUGAGGGUACUCAGAGCAGGUGGAGUGUGUCGUUUUCCAGAAGAGUGAUGUGUGUGUGGGCAGGAUCUACAGUGACUUUACUCCUCAGGUCACACUGAGAGGCGCCUUAUGUGGUUCCGUGUUUCUGGGAGUUUGCUCACCACACCGACCAGAUCAGGCCGUCGUACCGCGGGCGCACACUGUGAGAAGAACUGC